GGGCCUAUAGCUCAGGCGGUUAGAGCGCAUCCCUGAUAAGGAUGAGGUCGCUGGUUCAAGUCCAGCUAGGCCCACCA
rnacentral:tRNA from 5 species